GGCUUUGUAGCUCAGGUAGUAGAGCAGCAGACUGAAAAUCUGCGUGUGGGGGGUGCAAAUCCCUCCAAAGCCACCA
rnacentral:tRNA from 1 species